rnacentral:rRNA from 1 species
UACGUAGGGGGCUAGCGUUAUCCGGAAUUAUUGGGCGUAAAGCGCACGUAGGCGGCUUUGUAAGUUAGAGGUGAAAGCCCAGGGCUUAACCCUGGAAUUGCCUUUAAGACUGCAUCGCUAGAAUCGUGGAGAGGUAAGUGGAAUUCCGAGUGUAGAGGUGAAAUUCGUAGAUAUUCGGAAGAACACCAGUGGCGAAGGCGACUUACUGGACACGUAUUGACGCUGAGGCACGAAAGCGUGGGGAGCAAACAGG